rnacentral:rRNA from 2 species
UAUCUCUUGAAAUGGCUGACCUAUCAACUUUCGAUGGUAAAAUCAAAGUUUACCAUGGUUGUAACGGGUAACGGGGAAUCAGUGUUCGAUUCCGGAGAGGGAGCCUGAGAAACGGCUACCACAUCUACGGAAGGCAGCAGGCGCGCAAAUUACCCAAUACCGGCUCGGUGAGGUAGUGACAAUAAAUAACAAUAUGGACCCUAGUGGUUUCAUAAUUGCAAUGAGAACAUUUUAAAUACUUUAUCAAGUAUCAAUUGGAGGGCAAGUCUGGUGCCAGCAGCCGCGGUAAUUCCAGCUCCAAUAGCGUAUAUUAAAAUUGUUGCAGUUAAAAAGCUCGUAGUUGAAAUUGGGGAAUUGGAUUACUAAAGAUCUAUGAUCGAUGGUGAUUUAAUCCUUCAUGGUCCUGUAUAUCAGUUGAGUCCUUUAUUGGAUUUGAUUGGUGACGGACAAGUUUACUUUGAAAAAAUUAGAGUGCUUAAAGCAAGCUUAUGCUUGUAUAUUGUUGCAUGGAAUAAUGAAAUAGGACUUCGGUUUUAUUUUGUUGGUUUUCUUAACUGAAGUAAUGAUUAAAAGAGACUGCCGGGGGCAUAUGUAUGCUGGCGAUAGAGGUGAAAUUCUUAGACCGUCAGCAGACAAACUACUGCGAAAGCAUUUGCCAAGAAUGUUUUCAUUAAUCAAGAACGAAAGUCAGAGGAUCGAAGACGAUCAGAUACCGUCCUAGUUCUGACCAUAAACUAUGCCAACUGACAGUUAGCUAAGGAAAUUUAUUACUCCUUGCUAGAAGUCACCGGGAAACCUAAGUUAAUGGGUUCCGGGGGAAGUAUGGUUGCAAAGCUGAAACUUAAAGGAAUUGACGGAAGGGCACCACCAGGAGUGGAGCCUGCGGCUUA